AAGUACAUAUAUAUAAAUUAUAUAGAAACUGCGAACGGCUCAUUAAAACAGUUAUAAUCUACUUGAAGUAUUUUUAAUAGGAUAACUACGGAAAAUCUGUAGCUAGUACUUGCUCGAUCGUUUUUUACUUAGUCCUUCAUUGGAUUUUGUACAAUUACGGGUAUUUGUUAGUCUUUAUAAGAAAAUGUUCAUAUUAAAAGGAAUUAUAACAAAGAAACAACACGUAGUAAAACUCCGUUUUAUUAGUGUGUAUCAAUCGAGUUUCUGACCUAUCAGCUUUUGAUGUUAGGGUAUUGGCCUAACAUGGCUAUGACGGGUAACGGGGAAUUAGAGUUCGAUUCCGGAGAGGGAGCCUGAGAAAUAGCUACCACAUCUAAGGAAGGCAGCAGGCGCGUAAAUUGCCCAAUUCUAAAGAAGAGAGGUAGUGACAAGAAAUAACAAUGCAAGGCCAAAUUUUGGUUUUGCAAUUGGAAUGAUAGGAAGUUAAAAAUUUCCUAAAGUAACAAUUGGAGGGCAAGUCUGGUGCCAGCAGCCGCGGUAAUUCCAGCUCCAAUAGCAUAUAUUAAAAUUGUUGCAGUUAAAGCGCUCGUAGUUGAAUUUCAAGGAAUCUAUUUUUGAAGUAUUGUACAUGCUAGACGUCCAUGUUUAGAUUUAUAAAUAACAUUAGUUAUAUUAUAGUUUUUACAUGAGAUUUCGAAGGCUUGCAUACUUUAAAAAAAAAAAUAUUACGAUUCUUUUUAAAAAUUCUUUAUUACACAUUAUUUUAUAAUGGGAUAAGAAUUUUUGUUACUUUGAGUAAAUUAGAGUGUUCAUAGCAAACAGUUUAAAUCAGCUAAAAACUGUGUUUGAAUACUACAGCAUGGAAUAACAAAAUUGAACAAGUUAAAAAUUUUUUUUUAAGAUAUUUUCUUAUUUUAGCUUAGUUACGAUUAACAGGAGUAGUUUGGGGGACAUUCGUAUUCAGAUGCUAGAGGUGAAAUUCUUAGAUUUUCUGGAGACGAACAACUGCGAAAGCAUUUGUCUAAAAUAUUUCCAUUAAUCAAGAACGAAAGUUAAGGGAGUGAAGACGAUCAGAUACCGUCGUAAUCUUAACCAUAAACUAUGCCGACUAGGUGUUGGACGAAAGAUUCAAAAAUAAAAAGCUAUUUUAAUUUGAUUAAGAUAGAUUUUUAGAUUGCAUCCUUCAGUACCUUAAGAGAAAUCAAAGUCUUUGGGUUCUGGGGCGAGUAUUCGCGCAAGCGAGAAAGUUAAAAGAAUUGACGGAAGGGCACCACCAGGCGUGGAGCUUGCGGCUUAAUUUGACUCAACACGGGAAAUCUCACUAGUUUAAGACAAGAGUAGGAUUGACAGAUUAAAAGAUCUUUCUUGAUUUCUUGGAUGGUGAUGCAUGGCCGUUUUUAGUUCGUGAAUAUGAUUUGUCUGGUUAAUUCCGAUAACGAACGAGAUCUUAACUUACUAAUUAGCGGUAAAUACAACACACUCUCAUACAAGAAUGAGAUUUAGAUGAAAUUAAGCAUAUAAAGAAGAAAAAUAUUAGAACAUUUUUAUAAUGUUCUUUUCCCUUUUUCACUUUACUAUCUUUUUUUUACAUUCUAUUUGUACUUUUGUAUGAGAAUGUAUUUACUUUAUUGUAAAGCUUCUUAGAGGGACAUUGUGUGUCUAACACAAGGAAGUUUAAGGCAACAACAGGUCAGUGAUGUCCUUAGAUAAACUAGGCUGCACGCGUGCUACACUGAUAUAUAUAACGAGUUAUUAAAAAUAUAUCUUUAUAUAUAUAUAUAUACUUGUAUAUGUAUAUAACAGAUAUAGUUUUCCUCCACUGAAAAGUGUAGGCAAUCUUUAUCAAUAUAUAUCGUGAUGGGAAUAGAUUAUUGCAAUUAUUAAUCUUGAACGAGGAAUGCCUUGUAAGCAUGAUUCAUCAGAUUGUGCUGACUACGUCCCUGCCCUUUGUACACACCGCCCGUCGCUCCUACCGAUUGAAAGAUAUGAUGAAUUGUUUAGAUAAGAAAAAAUAAAAUUUAUAUUUUAUUUUUUAUUAGAAAAACUGUAAAUCCUAUCUUUUAAAGGAAG
rnacentral:rRNA from 1 species